UGCAACGCACUAUUGCUCCCUGUAUUGCGUGUAGAUGUGUACCGGGAUCCUGAGGUGUGUGAGA
rfam:Leptomonas pyrrhocoris LpyrH10_31, whole genome shotgun sequence.